GAUGUCACUUAAAACAAGUCCAGCCAGGAUGAUCUUAAACGAAAUUCAGGGGAAUAUUUUGAAGUGAAAAAGCCAUGAAAUGACAAAGGCAAAAAUCAUGCAUGCUAACAGGAAAUUCAUGAUGCGGCGUCCAUGCCAGAAUCUUCGAGUUUCAGAAAGGACUACAGGUGCACUUGAUACUCCCACAGCGGCUAUUGUAGCAUUGCUGGGUUCACUUGCCUGUCCUCCAAUAAUGUUCACCGCUACUGCACCACAGAUUUCACAAAUCGUGUUUCCCUUGAUUUUGAACCAAGUUUCAGCACAAUGUUUAUGAGCAGCUGCCAAAUCACCUUUGCAAGAACAUCCCAAUUCAAUAGCCAUCCCACCUGAAUCCUCUUGCACUUGAUCUUCACCACUACUAAUUCCACCACUUCUCAACAAACUCAAAUGACAAAUCCUACAAUCCUUCUCUUCUUUACUAUGCAACUUCAUCUCCAAUU
rnacentral:misc_RNA from 1 species